GUUUCUGUACCUUCAAAAAUCGUUAUUCAAUUGUUUUAACAUUAAAAAAAAUAAUUGUCAACACAUUUCGAGGUUAAGUGAAUUGUUCAAGUUUUAUGCGAUAAUUUUUUUAAAUAAAGGGCUUCUGAUUUGAAACUAUGGGUCGUGUACGUCCCACCAGGACUCAAAAGUCCGGAAAGGAAAAGUUGCAAGUUUUGGCGGUGGCAUAUCUCGGAUGCGACGCAUUGCCUGAAGAGGUGGUUCAUUGAAAAAUGGCGGUUGUCCAUCAACCAUUUCAAUUAUCAUAAUUCCC